GGGGUAGGCGGCCCUUCAAGUCGGAUGUGAAAUUUCCUGGCUUAACUAACGGGAAAAGUCAUUCGAUACUGUUGGGCUAGAGUACAGCAGAGGGAGGUGGAAUUCCCGGUGCAGUGGUGAAAUGCGUAGAUAUCGGGAGGAACACCAGUGGCGAAAGCGGCCUCCUGGGCUGUCACUGACGCUGAGACCCGAAAGCGUGGGGAGCAAACAGGAUUAGAUACCCUGGUAGUCCACGCUGUAAACUAUGGAUACUAGGUAUAGGGAGUAUCGACCCUCUCUGUGCCGAAGCUAACGCUUUAAGUAUCCCGCCUGGGGACUACGGUCGCAAGACUAAA
rnacentral:rRNA from 1 species